AUCCAGGUGACGAAUCCCAAAUAAGGCGAAACGCGCCUUGUCCUGGAU
rnacentral:hammerhead_ribozyme from 1 species